CUCUGAUGAAACCUCCCACUCUGCAUCUUCUCUUCUCGCUUCCUCGCCGCCAUGCGCCAACCCCGCCAUCAGCCGUCAAUCCGGCUGCGUACUUCCACCCUCGUCGCCCUCCCUAGUCCAGUAACAUCACCCGCUCCCUUCAACUCCCGUAUAGGUCUUCGUGGCCCUCAGAUGUGGCAGCCCUCAGGCACGACGCUGCCGGAUCUGGUUGGCUUGGCCUCGUCGCCCCAACCAAUAGGUGCUCCACGCCUCUCCUCAGGACCGCAGCGGUAUUCUUCGUCGGCUCUCUAUCCCUCCACCUCAUGCGCCAUGUAUCGGCCUUCUGCCCUUUCUUGAAGCUCCUCCUCAUCCAAGUGGUCACCUGAUGUUGCCGAGUGGACCACGCUCACUCGCGCAUUCGCCUGCCAGUACCAGGUCUAAGUCGGGCCUACCUGAAGAGCAAGAAUAUAAAGCUUCUGAGCUUAGGCACAUGACUCAAGCCCCCAGAAUCCGAUGGUCUACUGAGCCUGUUUUAUGCUGGGCGAGGAAGGGUGGAACAGUGAACCUUGCCACACAACGGCACCCCCUUCGCCUGAUGACCUUUUCCAAUCACGAUGACCUCCCGUCGCUGCUGAAGGAAUUGGAAAUAGUACUGGAGGAAUUGUGAUAUAUGGCAAGGUGGGUGAUGUCUAUGGAAAUGAUUGUUGAGCGUUAUGAUACAUAUGGUGAUGCAGGGUGAUGAGUCUAAUGUCUUUCGUCAAGACAUGCAACAAAGUGAAGUUAUGAAGUUCUGGUCAAUUUAGCUUAUGCAUAAUGCUUGGACCAUAGAUCUUAGUUACUAUUUUGUUUUGCAUCUCAAACUUCCUAGAUAGAUCACGGUGAUCAAUGUAAUUUUGAUGUGACUCUUCUGAUAUUAUGAAUGGUGUGCUAAAUAUAAUAGUUUAUGCUUCUUGGUCA